AGUAAGUGUAGCCUCCAAGGAAACGUAUUGCUGGGGUUACAAUACAAUAUUCGAUAGCAAUCCGUCACACAGCCUGGUCGGGUUAAUAGUAUAG